UCAAAAGAUCUGGGCCAGCCAAGGAUUUAAAGAAAUUAUCAUUCCAGGUUAUGGGAACAUGAGAGAUUUCUAACAGAGACCACAGUCUCAAGAAAGGCUUUUUAAGAUGAUAUCUAUGCUCAGACCCCAACUUCAUGCCAUCCAGAACAAAAAGACGACAUGGUUCAUGCUCUCUAAAAAUUCUUGGUACCCAAGUGGUUAAGAACCAUAACUCUGGUAUCUAAGUAAUUUCUAACUACAGUUAUAUAAUAUUGUACUGAACAAUGUCUAGCAUUCCAUAAUGUGCUGGGAUUACAGGCGUGAGCCACCACACCCAGCGAAAUCCUUUUUUUUUUUUUUUUUUAAAGCUGAAUACGCAGAAACAAGAGUAUAGCCACAGUUACCAGGGGAAAGGAGGGGGACGAAAUGGGAAUAAGUAGGUCAAAGGGUACAAACUCGCAGUUAUGUAGGAUGAAUAAGUCUAGAGAGCUAAUGUAUAGCGCGAAGUCUAUAAUUAUUCAUAUUGUAUAGUAUAUAUAAAAUUUGCUAAGACAGAUUUUAGAUGCUUAUACCACAAUUUUAAAAAUUAUAGAAGGAGAUGGAUAGGUUAAUUUGCUUAACUGUAGUAAUCAUUUCAUGAUUUUGUAUCUGUGUAUCAAAACAUAAAAAUCAUUUCAU
rnacentral:lncRNA from 1 species